rnacentral:rRNA from 1 species
UGGGUAACCUGCCUCAAAGAGGGGAAUAGCCUCCCGAAAGGGAGAUUAAUACCGCAUAAUAUGUUUAAGUCGCAUGACUUUAACAUCAAAGGAUUUUCUUUUAGAACUUCCACUUUGAGAUGGACCCGCGGCGCAUUAGCUAGUUGGUGAGGUAACGGCUCACCAAGGCAACGAUGCGUAGCCGACCUGAGAGGGUGAUCGGCCACAUUGGAACUGAGACACGGUCCAGACUCCGUAGGGAG